rnacentral:ncRNA from 2 species
GACAACUAGCUUGUGGCAGCCAAGUGUUCAAAAUGACAUUGCUUUGUGAUGCUUCGAUGUCAACUCUUCCUAUCAUUAUGAAGAAGAAUUCACCAAAUGUUGGAAUGUUCACCAAUCAAUAAGGAACGUGAGAUGGGUUUAGAUCAUCGUGAGACAGGUU